rnacentral:rRNA from 1 species
GAUUAACGCUAGCGGCAGGCCUAAUACAUGCAAGUUGUACGGGAUUAUUGGUAGCAAUACUGAUAUGAGAGUAGCGCACGGGUGCGUAACACGUAUGCAACCUACCUUUAACUGGGGAAUAGCCUUCCGAAAGGAAGAUUAAUACCGCAUAACAUUGCGAAACGACAUCGUUUUGCAAUUAAACCUACGGGGGUUAGAGAUGGGCAUGCGUCCGAUUAGCUAGUUGGCGGGGUAANAGCCCACCAAGGCAACGAUCGGUAGGGGGUCUGAGAGGAUGAUCCCCCACACUGGUACUGAGACACGGACCAGACUCCUACGGGAGGCAGCAGUAAGGAAUAUUGGACAAGUGGGGCGAACCCUGAUCCACGCCAUGCCGCGUGAAGGAUGAACGGCCCUAGUGGGUACGUAAAC